rnacentral:lncRNA from 1 species
ACUUGCCGUAUGACAGAACUUCUUCCUUAUUAGCAUUACCCCUGUAUUACUUAGAGAAUUCACCUGUGAGUUGCUGUUUGCUGGGACUUAAGUGAUUUUCCUGUGACUUCAUCUUCUGUAAAAAAGCUGUUGCUAAGUUCAGUGAUUCAGAAUUAGCAUGAAGUUACAGGGGUAUAAACUAUCCAUUUAGACCACGUUAUUGGGAGGUUUUUUAGCUCUUUGAUCUGGCUUAAUUUCUGACAGAUACUGUGUUUGCUGUAGUAGCCCAAGGAACUACUAGAAGUCCGCAUAUCAGAAGACAGAGGAAAAUUGGCAGAGGUCUUGUCAUGCUAGUUGGCAGUUUUUCACUGAGUAACCAUGCUUUGGAGUGUACUGCCAGACUUGCAAUGCUGGAUGCUCAGGCAAGAAAGCAGCAAGAAUAGGCUACUCUGCGUUUUAAGUUGUUUGGAGCUACAUCUGUGCAGCUGUGACUGAAGUCUGGACAUAGUGAUUCAAGCCUCCUUCCCAAAAUGCAGCUUGCUUUUAUGACUUUUUCCAGGAGCUCUAGCAAGACACCAAGCAACUUUAGCUAAAUUCUUGG